rnacentral:rRNA from 2 species
AGCUUGCAUCAUGAUUUACAUUUGAGUGAGUGGCGAACUGGUGAGUAACACGUGGGAAACCUGCCCAGAAGCGGGGGAUAACACCUGGAAACAGAUGCUAAUACCGCAUAACAACUUGGACCGCAUGGUCCGAGUUUGAAAGAUGGCUUCGGCUAUCACUUUUGGAUGGUCCCGCGGCGUAUUAGCUAGAUGGUGGGGUAACGGCUCACCAUGGCAAUGAUACGUAGCCGACCUGAGAGGGUAAUCGGCCACAUUGGGACUGAGACACGGCCCAAACUCCUACGGGAGGCAGCCAGUAGGGAAUCUUUCCACAAAUGGACGAAAGUCUCGAUGGAGCAACCCCCGCGUGAAUGAAGAAAGGGUUUCGGCUCGUAAAACUCCCGUUGUUAAAGAAGAACAUAUCUGAGAGUAACUGUUCAGGUAUUGACGGUAUUUAACCAGAAAGCCACGGCUAACUACGUGCCAGCAGCCGCGGUAAUACGUAGGUGGCAAGCGUUGUCCGGAUUUAUUGGGCGUAAAGCGAGCGCAGGCGGUUUUUUAAGUCUGAUGUGAAAGCCUUCGGCUCAACCGAAGAAGUGCAUCGGAAACUGGGAAACUUGAGUGCAGAAAAGGACAGUGGAACUCCAUGUGUAGCGGUGAAAUGCGUAGAUAUAUGGAAGAACACCAGUGGCGAAGGCGGCUGUCUGGUCUGUAACUGACGCUGAGGCUCGAAAGUAUGGGUAGCAAACAGGAUUAGAUACCCUGGUAGUCCAUACCGUAAACGAUGAAUGCUAAGUGUUGGAGGGUUUCCGCCCUUCAGUGCUGCAGCUAACGCAUUAAGCAUUCCGCCUGGGGAGUACGGCCGCAAGGCUGAAACUCAAAGGAAUUGACGGGGGCCCGCACAAGCGGUGGAGCAUGUGGUUUAAUUCGAAGCUACGCGAAGAACCUUACCAGGUCUUGACAUACUAUGCAAAUCUAAGAGAUUAGACGUUCCCUUCGGGGACAUGGAUACAGGUGGUGCAUGGUUGUCGUCAGCUCGUGUCGUGAGAUGUUGGGUUAAGUCCCGCAACGAGCGCAACCCUUAUUAUCAGUUGCCAGCAUUAAGUUGGGCACUCUGGUGAGACUGCCGGUGACAAACCGGAGGAAGGUGGGGAUGACGUCAAAUCAUCAUGCCCCUUAUGACCUGGGCUACACACGUGCUACAAUGGAUGGUACAACGAGUUGCGAACUCGCGAGAGUAAGCUAAUCUCUUAAAGCCAUUCUCAGUUCGGAUUGUAGGCUGCAACUCGCCUACAUGAAGUCGGAAUCGCUAGUAAUCGCGGAUCAGCAUGCCGCGGUGAAUACGUUCCCGGGCCUUGUACACUCCGCCCUUCACACCAUGAGAGUUUGAACACCCAAUUUU